GUCGAGCGGCGGACGGGUGAGUAAUGCCUAGGAAAUUGCCCUGAUGUGGGGGAUAACCAUUGGAAACGAUGGCUAAUACCGCAUGAUGCCUACGGGCCAAAGAGGGGGACCUUCGGGCCUCUCGCGUCAGGAUAUGCCUAGGUGGGAUUAGCUAGUUGGUGAGGUAAGGGCUCACCAAGGCGACGAUCCCUAGCUGGUCUGAGAGGAUGAUCAGCCACACUGGAACUGAGACACGGUCCAGACUCCUACGGGAGGCAGCAGUGGGGAAUAUUGCACAAUGGGCGCAAGCCUGAUGCAGCCAUGCCGCGUGUGUGAAGAAGGCCUUCGGGUUGUAAAGCACUUUCAGUCGUGAGGAAGGUAGUGUAGUUAAUAGCUGCAUUAUUUGACGUUAGCGACAKAAGAAGCACCGGCUAACUCCKUGCCANCAGCCGCGGUAAUACGGAGGGUGCGAGCGUUAAUCGGAAUUACUGGGCGUAAAGCGCAUGCAGGUGGUUUGUUAAGUCAGAUGUGAAAGCCCGGGGCUCAACCUCGGAAUUGCAUUUGAAACUGGCAGACUAGAGUACUGUAGAGGGGGGUAGAAUUUCAGGUGUAGCGGUGAAAUGCGUAGAGAUCUGAAGGAAUACCGGUGGCGAAGGCGGCCCCCUGGACAGAUACUGACACUCAGAUGCGAAAGCGUGGGGAGCAAACAGGAUUAGAUACCCUGGUAGUCCACGCCGUAAACGAUGUCUACUUGGAGGUUGUGGCCUUGAGCCGUGGCUUUCGGAGCUAACGCGUUAAGUAGACCGCCUGGGGAGUACGGUCGCAAGAUUAAAACUCAAAUGAAUUGACGGGGGCCCGCACAAGCGGUGGAGCAUGUGGUUUAAUUCGAUGCAACGCGAAGAACCUUACCUACUCUUGACAUCCAGAGAACUUUCCAGAGAUGGAUUGGUGCCUUCGGGAACUCUGAGACAGGUGCUGCAUGGCUGUCGUCAGCUCGUGUUGUGAAAUGUUGGGUUAAGUCCCGCAACGAGCGCAACCCUUAUCCUUGUUUGCCAGCGAGUAAUGUCGGGAACUCCAGGGAGACUGCCGGUGAUAAACCGGAGGAAGGUGGGGACGACGUCAAGUCAUCAUGGCCCUUACGAGUAGGGCUACACACGUGCUACAAUGGCGCAUACAGAGGGCGGCCAACUUGCGAAAGUGAGCGAAUCCCAAAAAGUGCGUCGUAGUCCGGAUUGGAGUCUGCAACUCGACUCCAUGAAGUCGGAAUCGCUAGUAAUCGUGGAUCAGAAUGCCACGGUGAAUACGUUCCCGGGCCUUGUACACACCGCCCGUCACACCAUGGGAGUGGGCUGC
rnacentral:rRNA from 1 species